UACGGAGGGAGCUAGCGUUAUUCGGAAUUACUGGGCGUAAAGCGCACGUAGGCGGCUUUGUAAGUUAGAGGUGAAAGCCUGGAGCUCAACUCCAGAAUUGCCUUUAAGACUGCAUCGCUUGAAUUCAGGAGAGGUGAGUGGAAUUCCGAGUGUAGAGGUGAAAUUCGUAGAUAUUCGGAAGAACACCAGUGGCGAAGGCGGCUCACUGGACUGGUAUUGACGCUGAGGUGCGAAAGCGUGGGGAGCAAACAGG
rnacentral:rRNA from 1 species